rnacentral:lncRNA from 1 species
UGACAACAAUGAUGUUCAAGAAGAUGAAACACAUGGAAGUGGACAAGCAUCAAAUAGUACUGUGGAUGUUGUGAACCUUGAAGAAGAUUAAGUGACUUUGUUGGGAGUGACUUUUUGGAUUAAAACUUUUGUUAUGUUAUUACUUAUUCUGGAUAAUUAAUAUUUUGAAUUUAGAAUCUUCAUUCUGGAUAAUUGGUGACUUGUGUUAAUGUUACUAUGGAUAAUUGUUAUUCUCUUGGAUCAAUCUUAAUUUAUCUUUUGUUCACUAUUAGCCUAUUUGUGUAUAUUUAAGUUAUUAUGUUCAAUCCUUAAAGAAUGGGAA